AGAGUAAAAUAGCUCUUGACACAAAGCAAGUGCUAACUAGUCCACGAUACUCUCGAGCAUACGUAAGAGCGGGAACAUACUGUGAAUACAGAAUUGCUGCGUCUGAUCCAUCAAAGCGAGUGAAACUCUACUUCAAAGUCUUCAGAGUGUGGAGUCCUAGUUACGUGGCCCUGAACCCUUCCGGUGACGCCUACUAUGACAGCAAUGUGGUUGUCCUGCAGAACACCGUGAGCAUAAGGCAUUACGAGUCCGUCGGGGAUGACUUCAGGAUUUAUUUCCAUAAUGAAGUCUCAACAUUUGGCUUUAAAAUAUACUACAAACAAGUGAUUUGAAAAAAAAAAA